rnacentral:rRNA from 1 species
AAGGCGACGAUCCGUAGCGGGUCUGAGAGGAUGAUCCGCCACACUGGGACUGAGACACGGCCCAGACUCCUACGGGAGGCAGCAGUGGGGAAUUUUGGACAAUGGGCGAAAGCCUGAUCCAGCCAUGCCGCGUGAGUGAAGAAGGCCUUCGGGUUGUAAAGCUCUUUCGGUGGGGGAAGAAAUUGCAUAGGCUAAUACCCUGUGUAGAUGACGGUACCUGGAGAAGAAGCACCGGCUAACUACGUGCCAGCAGCCGCGGUAAUACGUAGGGUGCGAGCGUUAAUCGGAAUUACUGGGCGUAAAGCGUGCGCAGGCGGUUUGGUAAGUCAGAUGUGAAAUCCCCGGGGCUCAACCUGGGGAACUGCAUUUGAGACUGCCAAGCUGGAGUUUGGCAGAGGGGGUGGAAUUCCACGUGUAGCAGUGAAAUGCGUAGAGAUGUGGAGGAACACCGAUGGCGAAGGCAGCCCCCUGGGCCAAUACUGACGCUCAUGCACGAAAGCGUGGG